rnacentral:rRNA from 1 species
UAGGGAAUCUUCCACAAUGGACGCAAGUCUGAUGGAGCAACGCCGCGUGAGUGAAGAAGGUUUUCGGAUCGUAAAGCUCUGUUGUUGGUGAAGAAGGAUAGAGGCAGUAACUGGUCUUUAUUUGACGGUAAUCAACCAGAAAGUCACGGCUAACUACGUGCCAGCAGCCGCGGUAAUACGUAGGUGGCAAGCGUUGUCCGGAGUUAUUGGGCGUAAAGCGAGCGCAGGCGGAAUGAUAAGUCUGAUGUGAAAGCCCACGGCUCAACCGUGGAACUGCAUCGGAAACUGUCAUUCUUGAGUGCAGAAGAGGAGCGUGGAAUUCCAUGUGUAGCGGUGGAAUGCGUAGAUAUAUGGAAGAACACCAGUGGCGAAGGCGGCUCUCUGGUCUGCAACUGACGCUGAGGCUCGAAAGCAUGGGUAGCGAACAGG